GCUGGGCAUGAUGGCUCAUGCCUGUAAUCCCAGCACUUUGGGAGGCUGAGACGGGUGGAUCACCUGAGGUUGGGAGUUCAAGACCAGCCUGACCAACAUGGAGAAACCCUGUCUCUA
ensembl:misc_RNA Metazoa_SRP Metazoan signal recognition particle RNA